CAGCAGCCGCGGUAAUACGAAGGGGGCUAGCGUUGUUCGGAAUUACUGGGCGCAAAGCGCACUUAGGCAGAUAUUUAAGUCAGGGGUGAAAUCCCAGAGCUCAACUCUGGAACUGCCUUUGAUACUGGGUAUCUUGAGUAUGGAAGAGGUGAGUGGAAUUCCGAGUGUAGAGGUGAAAUUCGUAGAUAUUCGGAAGAACACCAGUGGCGAAGGCGGCUCACUGGACUGGUAUUGACGCUGAGGUGCGAAAGCGUGGGGAGCAAACAGGAUUAGAUACCCCAGUAGUCCCUGUCUCUUAUAC
rnacentral:rRNA from 1 species